rnacentral:rRNA from 1 species
UACGUAGGGGGCAAGCGUUAUCCGGAUUCACUGGGUGUAAAGGGAGCGUAGACGGCGACGCAAGUCUGGAGUGAAAGCCCGGGGCCCAACCCCGGGACUGCUCUGGAAACUGCGGCGCUGGAGUACGGGAGGGGCAGGCGGAAUUCCUGGUGUAGCGGUGAAAUGCGUAGAUAUCAGGAGGAACACCGGCGGCGAAGGCGGCCUGCUGGACCGUGACUGACGUUGAGGCUCGAGAGCGUGGGGAACAAACAGG